rnacentral:rRNA from 1 species
UACGUAGGGUGCAAGCGUUGUCCGGAAUUAUUGGGCGUAAAGAGCUCGUAGGCGGUUUGUCACGUCGGCUGUGAAAACCCGAGGCUCAACCUCGGGCCUGCAGUCGAUACGGGCAGACUAGAGUAUGGCAGGGGAGACUGGAAUUCCUGGUGUAGCGGUGAAAUGCGCAGAUAUCAGGAAGAACACCUAUGGCGAAGGCAGCUCUCUGGGACGGUACUGACGCUGAGACGCGAAAGCGUGGGGAGCGAACAGG